rnacentral:snoRNA from 1 species
UAACCAUGUUGAUGGCAUCUUCUAAGUAGAUCUUUAAAUCUCUCCUAUGCUUCAUAAAAUGGUUCGAAGUCUGCUUGUCUAAAGUGACCAAUUUCACUCCUCAAUUG